rnacentral:misc_RNA from 1 species
AAGUCGUAACAAGGUCUCCGUUGGUGAACCAGCGGAGGGAUCAUUAGCGAGUGAAAAACUCCCUAAAAACCACUGUGAAUCUACCUAUUCUUUGCGUUCCGGCGGGCGGCUCCAGGGCGGAGUCACUGCCCGUUAGGUCGGGUGCCCGCCGGAGCAGACCACUAAGCUCUUAUUGUUAUAGUGAGGAUCAGAGUUAAAAAUAUAAGCCAUAAAAACUUUCAGCAACGGAUCUCUUGGCUCUG